rnacentral:tRNA from 1 species
ACCUAGGUAAGCUAAAUAACUAAGCUAGUGGGUUCAUACCCCAAAUAUGAAAAAUUUUCUCUAGGUU